rnacentral:rRNA from 1 species
GAGUGGCGGACGGGUGAGUAACGCGUGGGUAACCUGCCUUAUACAGGGGGAUAACAGUUAGAAAUGACUGCUAAUACCGCAUAAGCGCACAGCAUCGCAUGAUGCCGUGUGAAAAAACUCCGGUGGUAUAAGAUGGACCCGCGUCUGAUUAGCUAGUUGGUGAGGUAACGGCUCACCAAGGCGACGAUCAGUAGCCGGCCUGAGAGGGUGGACGGCCACAUUGGGACUGAGACACGGCCCAG